UCCUCACCUCUUUUAAGAGGGGGAAAAAUUGACUUUUUGACCGAGAAGGAAUUUGGGAAUUCCGUUUACGCCGUUGCGUAGAGCACGGCGAAACGAGUUCGUAAACACGGAGUAGACCCGAAUCGGAGUUGUAACGAAGGAGUUAUGGUCAAAAGAGUCUCAGUGGCAGAACCGUAAAUAUUUCGAAGUUGAAUUAAUAAAAAGAAAAUCUGUCAGCUCUCUCUCUCUCUCUCUCUCUCUCUCUCUCUCUCUCCCUCCCGAUAGUUUCAGAAACCCAUUCGGGCAGCCCCAUUCCAAGCCACCCCCAACGCCGUCUCAAGCCACCCCGACCCUCCGGAACGGACCCAGCAGCACCGGCCAGCUCCCGCCAUCAACCUCAGCCCGUCCGCCGCCCCUGCUGCUGUCUGGAGCCGCUGGAAAACGCAGCAGUUUUGGCCGAUUUUCCAACUUCAGUUUCUCCCUCAUCCGGCCACCAAAUCAGUCGUGUGAGGCAUCAGAGGCCAAAAUGAACCACAGGAGGGACCUUCAAGAGGUCCAGCUAGCUCGGACCAGCAGUGAGUGGACCUUUCUUUUUUUUAAAUGAUUUUCUAAAUCAGUUUUAUUCAGUGUGAUGUAUUCCUAUGAAUUUAAAGAUUCCUUCUAUACAUUGCUUAGCUGAUUUUGCUAAAGUUAUUUGGACAGCAGACUUUGAGAUUUAUGAUUCAGAAAUAUCUAGCUCAGAUUUUAUCAGAAUACAGAGGAUAUCAGAUUUUAUCCAAGAUAAUUAUUUUAGACCACCAUGAAUUAUAGAAAGCAGAGUUUGAGUUUUCUAUUAGAUAAAAAGGGCAGCACAGUUAUAGAUUGAAUAAAGAUUCAGUUAUUCAUCAGAUCUUUCAGUAAUAUUAUGAUAUUUAUAUUUGAUAUUUUCUCAUCAGUUAUAUUUUCUUAAACCACUGUGGGUACCCGGUUACAGAAACAGGUUGCCGUCAAAUAAGACGAUGUCUACGGACAUCCAGAUUGCCUUCGGUUUAUGUUGCCUUCGGUUUAUGUUGCCUUCGGAUAUGAUGAUGUCUACAGACAUCCCGUUUACUUACCGUUCAGUCAGUGCACUUGACAUUUGCCUCACGAGUUUGGGGACACCCGGACUGUGAGUGCCAGGAAUUGCGGAUCAGGCUGACUACGGUCUCCUGAAUCCUGCCAGGAAUUGCGGAUCAAGCUGACUACGGUCUCCUGAAUCCUGCCAGGAAUUGCGGAUCAGGCUGACUACGGUCUCCUGAAUCCUGCCAGUUUGCAGCUCGGAUACACUAUGUGUCGCCGAGACCUGCCAGGGGAAUUGACGAAUUUACAGAGGAAUUGACGGAAAUUAAAAGGGUACACCCAAUUGGUAACUUUAGAGGAAUGUCAGUGCAAUUAUGCAAAUAUUGAUUUCAGUGAUUUUACUUGAGUUUCUUAAUAUCGAGCAGUAACGGUAUAUAUAUGUUUACCUAAAUGCUUUGAACUUAUCAUAAUUCAAGUGCAGUUUAAAUAUUCAGUUGUAUGAUUAUCAUUAUUUUUACAGUGGGGGUUAUUAUGUUCAUAUACUGUUUUCUAGAACUUUAUUUUGGUCCACUCACACUUUGAAAUGUUUUGCGCCCCCCAGGCAGUCGAGUGUGCAGGAAUCCACCACCAGGCCUUCUCCUAGCUCCCACGCUAUUUCCAAGCUGUAGGAUUUCUUGUAACCUACUUAAAUUCUUGUAAACAAUUAGUAACUGCUCUGAUAUCUGGUUGGAUUAGAUAACCAGAACUGGUGAAUAUUUAGUUACCCUAUUCUGGCAGUUGGUGUGGAUUUAUCAGUUUGUUUGACAGGUGGAAAAUUUGGGUUUAGUCAAAUUACAGGGGAGUCUCUGCCGAAAUUAAAGCAGGAGUCCAGAGAAAGUUUUAACCAUAUUUAUCUCCAGGAAGGGUAAAAAGGUCAUUGUGCCCGACAAGUGCCAGGUGUUGGACACGCACAGGGCUUGGCUCGAAUUCCAAAGCGGAAAUUGGGUCGGGUCCUGUCAAUUUGGUAUCAGAGCAUAGGUUUUACUUCCUGUAGACUUCGCACUAUGUGCAUCCUCGUUCUCUUUUCGAGUUGGGCCCUAAUGGUGGUGGUAUCCGUAAGACAAUUGGACAGAUAUCUCGAUGUAAGGAAAUGAGAUUUCUAAGUUGAACAGAAACUGCACCGGUAUUUGAACCGGUAGAGUAAUGUUUUGUUAAGAGGCUCGUCAAGAGCCGUACCUACUGUACCAAGUAGGCAGGAAGAUCCAAAUGUCCAGUAGACCUUGGGAGUUGAUAACUCAGGGUUUAGUCAGCCAGAGAUCCAUCCGUGAGAUAGGUGGAUCCAGUAAAAAGGAUUGAGAGCUAUAAAUUGGGAUAAUGGUGGUACCUAGUAGUAAAAAGAGGAUUAAAUUGAAGGAAUAGAGCAGGACAUGGAGGUCCUAGUUGCUAUACAGAAGAAUAAAGUAUUGGUGGGAUUUAGUUAAGAAGUGAUACCAGGAUCCUUUGAUUAAUACGUAACAAGUAUUUUAGAGCCGAAUUUAAUAGCUAGUCUUAUCUGUAAGUUUACAGAAGGUGAGGAUACAAGAGGUUUUGCAGCAGAAUAGAGAAUAAUAAUUGGAUCCGAGUAUAAAAAAAAAAAA